rnacentral:rRNA from 1 species
GCUUACGGCCAUACCAGCCUGGGUACGCCCGAUCUCGUCUGAUCUCGGAAGCUAAGCCGGGUCGGGCCUGGUUAGUACUUGGAUGGGAGACCGCCUGGGAAUACCAGGUGCUGUAGGCA